rnacentral:rRNA from 1 species
AAAUUGAAGAGUUUGAUCAUGGCUCAGAUUGAACGCUGGCGGCAGGCCUAACACAUGCAAGUCGAACGGUAACAGGAAGCAGCUUGCUGCUUCGCUGACAAGUGGCGGACGGGUGAGUAAUGUCUGGGAAACUGCCUGAUGGAGGGGGAUAACUACUGGAAACGGUGGCUAAUACCGCAUGACGUC